CCCUUAGAUGUUCUGGGCCGCACGUGCGCUACACUGACGAAUGCAACGAGCUUAUAACCUUGGCCGAAAGGUCUGGGUAAUCUCCAAAUUUCGUCGUGAUGGGGAUAGAUUAUUGCAAUUAUUAAUCUUCAACGAGGAAUGCCUAGUAAGCGCAAGUCAUCAGCUUGCGUUGAUUACGUCCCUGCCCUUUGUACACACCGCCCGUCGCUCCUACCGAUUGAAUGGUCCGGUGAAGCGUUCGGACCGUGGCCUUUGGACGGUUCGCCGUCUGUUGGCUGCGGGAAGUUCGUUAAACCUUAUCAUUUAGAGGAAGGAGAANUCGUAACA
rnacentral:rRNA from 1 species